CGGCAUAAUGCACUUUUACGGUCAUUUUCUCCCUGGACGUGCGCCUUCAAUUAUCCGGAUUUUCCGGGACACGUUUGUGCAUAAGUGAUCUCUUCUGUCGGUGUAUAUAAAACAUGGCGAGUGCGAUAAACGAACACGGAGUUGCAGUACGAGUUGUAGGACGAGUUGCAACCCGAGGUGCAAUCAGAAUCUACGGUGCACUUUGUGCGAACAUUCGCGCACUUUAACGACCAUGAAGAAGGUCCUGGCGAUCUGCAUCCUGGCGAGCUUUAUCCUUCAAGUGUAUCUGCGACCCAACAAGCCGACCAAGCCGAAUACACCUGAAGACUUCAUACAAGUCUUGUCAGAUUUGGUGGACGGUGACCGGAAACAAUUUCUCGAUAAAGCCGAAACGGAUUUGAAGGGCUCCAUUUCAUCGAUGCGGCAGAACAUAAAGGAGAGCAUGACGAAAAUGGGAUGAAAUAUCUUCCAUUGUAUUUAUUAAUGUUUUCCAAAAUGCCCAGGGGCUCAAAAGGAUUUCCAAAGGCUCCCUUGGACGCAAUUAAUUACUCUAAUUCCCCUGGCGAGUUGUUCAUUUUUGUCCCCACUCUUAAUCUCGGGAAUCUCUGAAAUCUCUGAAAUCUCGGGAAUCUCCAUGUGUAAUUAAACGGUUAAACUCCGACGAUACUGCGGGGAAUAAAUUAGCGUUUGAUAAAAAAUGGCCGUGAUUACGUUCAGCGACUAUGCAGGGGACAAUGCAGGGCAUUAUAAAUAACAAAGCGGGCCAUGUGCAUAUUAAUUCCGUGAAAUGAAAAGUCGGGAUAAAAGGACCUCCCUCUCUUCUUCACGCGUCUAGAUAGUCACGUGACUCUUCACCUCUCCGCGUUCACAUAUUGAAACUGUAAUAAUUAUUCCGUGCGUCUAGGUUCAUACGAGGUUCAGACGGCUCGAGUGCCACCCUGGUCGUUCCCUGCACCCUUCAUGGCCGACAGGAUGGCACAAGGGACGAAGUUAGGGGUGUGUUCGGCGCACCUCGUUAAAAAUGCACGCGUCACGAGCUUCUUUGCAUGGCGCAUGCAUCGCGAGAUGCACGGCCGGUCCCCCUGCAUCCCGAUGCACCGAGACGGAUGCUGCAUCUUCCGAAAUUCCGAUCAGCUGGAAACUAUUGAUUGCAGAAGAAGGCACUUAGAAUCUCGCCCAAAAUUAAAAGGGGCGGCCGAAUUUCCUCUAGAAUUUCGGAAACCGCGCCAAAUGUACACACUUCCAUACGUACAUAUACGUAUGCACGAAGCCAUGUAACUCUUCGUGGAUCAAGACUGGGAUUACGAUUACACCAGGAUAUAUCCGAGCAGAAAUUUGAGCCCUCUUUUGAACUUGCAUAACGUAAGACCUCCUUUGGUCCUGUUUAAUUUCUCUAAGUCUCUUUACCUUCGUACGUCCUGAUUUAUUGUCGAAUGAAGUCUUAUCUUAGGUCUACAAAUAAGAAAACUGGAAAUAUCUGUCAUUUUAAGGUAAAAAA